rfam:Salmo salar isolate Sally breed double haploid chromosome ssa09, whole genome shotgun sequence.
UCCACACACUACUGUAAGUUGCUCUGGAUAAGAGCGUCUGCUAAAUUUCUAAAA